GGGCCCGGGCCGGGUUUUAAGGAGAAAGGCUAAAAAUCAAAAGGGUUUUAAAUGUUAAACCAAAUGAUUCGAAACCUGUCCUGAAGGAGCAGCCAGUGGCGCUCAGGAUCUGCCAGACAGUGUUUAUUUCAGCUGCUGGAGCUGAUCCUGUCUGUGUGACAAAAGCAGCACAGGAAUGCUUUCAAUCCCACCAAUAUUUGUAUUGAUGUUGGUUUUACCACCUGGACAUCCCUGUCAACAAGUAGCUGUGGAUCUUUAAGAGAAGCAGUCCAUCUCGAUUCAGUGCUUUGCUGCAAGCCCUCUGGGCAAAAGAACUCGAGCUUUUUGACCCCUGGUAGCUCUGGGUUGUACCUGUGCCUUCAGUCCUGUUUUUUUUGCAAAAUCUUCCCCUGUUCUUUUGGUGGCCAGCAGUGAAACCCACAAGAGUGAGAUCCUGUAGUGUGGAGAAAGAAGAUGAAUUACAGAAUGUUCAGUUCUUGAGCAAGAACUACUCCUUCCAUCAUGGAAGCACCUCAGUAAAGCCCAGGGGGAUUUGCUCUUCUGUGGAGCAGAGUCCCACUGCUUUGCUUAAGACACCCUGCAUGAAAAUAAAACCAUUUUGGGGAGACAAUCCUCAGAAGGAAAUG